rnacentral:rRNA from 1 species
CCUACGGGAGGCAGCAGUAGGGAAUUUUUCACAAUGGACGAAAGCCUGAUGGAGCAAUGCCGCGUGAGUGAUGAAGGUCUUAUGGAUUGUAAAAUUCUUUUAUUUGGGAAGAAGACCUAAAGUAUGAAAUGACUUUAGUCUGACUGUACCUUAUGAGUAAGUAUCGGCUAACUAUGUGCCAGCAGCCGCGGUAAUACAUAGGAUGCAAGCGUUAUCCGGAUUUACUGGGCGUAAAACGAGCGCAGGCGGUUUAAUAAGUUUGGUAUGAAAGGCUUUUGCUUAACGAAAGUUUGUAUCAAAAACUGUUAAUCUAGAGUGUAGGAGAGAGGGCUGGAAUUCCAUGUGGAGCGGUGGAAUGCGUAGAUAUAUGGAAGAACACCAGUGGCGAAGGCGAGAACUUAGGCUAUAACUGACGCUUAGGCUCGAAAGUGUGGGGAGCAAAUAGGAUUAGAUACCCCGGUAGUC